AACGAACGCUGGCGGCAUGCCUAACACAUGCAAGUCGAACGAGACCUUCGGGUCUAGUGGCGCACGGGUGCGUAACGCGUGGGAACCUGCCUUUAGGUUCGGAAUAACUCAGAGAAAUUUGAGCUAAUACCGGAUGAUGUCUUCGGACCAAGGAUUUAUCGCCUUUGGAUGGGCCCGCGCUGGUUUAGCUAGUUGGUGGGGUAAAGGCCUACCAAGGCGACGUUCCAUAGCUGGUCUGAGAGGAUGAUCAGCCACGCUGGGACUGCGACACGGCCCAGACUCCUACGGGAGGCAGCAGUGGAGAAUAUUGGACGAUGGGCGAAAGCCUGAUCCAGCAAUGCCGGGUGAGUGAUGAAGGCCGUAGGGUUGUAAAGCUCUUUUACCCGAGAUGAUAAUGACGGUAUCGGGAGAAUAAGCACCGGCUAACUCCGUG
rnacentral:rRNA from 1 species